UGUAUAUGAAAAUACUCUUAUUCAGGUAGUUCUGUAAAAAAUAUUACAAUUCCAGAUUAUGCACAUAAUUGGUGUGAUCAUUAAUUAAUAUGCAAGUAUGGAAGUAGAUUUAGCAAAAAUUUAUUUAAAAGCAGUUUAUUAAUCUUCAUUAUAAAUCAGAGUUCUGCGUCGUACUUAAUUUCAACUAAAGAAAACUUGCAGUUUAAUCUCCGAAGAAGAAUUAUUCCAGGUCUUCGUAAUUUCGAUUUAUGUUUGAUUGGAAAUCUAAUAGGAGUGAAAUUGGACAUGGAGUUAGAAAACGUCUGCAGGAUUCCUAACUUUCGGGAAUUGUAAUCGAAUUACAACCGACCUUGUUCAAGCCCGAUUAAUUUUUGAGCAUUUUAGGUUGGUUGAGAACACCAAUUUUUAGAAGCAGCAUUUUGUGAAUUGGGAUGUGAUACAGAUGCGAAAAAUUCAGCAAGUUACAAGCUCGAUUGUCCAGUACAGGCUUCACCUUACCGAAAAGUGAGCGUUUUCGCGAACUUACGGUACUCACAACGCUCUGAAUUUUGCACAUCUACCGCACUAAAUGUCGUUUCUAAAAGUUGGUAUUACAAACUGAGGUUCUAAAAAAUUGAUCCGGGUUCAACAUGGUUUGCUUCCGCAUUGUUAGUAAGAAUUUAUUCAAAUUGACUAUGCUUAUCUAAGGUACAAAGAAUACUGCAUUUUGCAAAUGCUCGAUCCCGUUAGAUUUACUCCGUAUCAAUUUUCCAAUUUCUUAGGAGCGAGGCAGACAUGGCUAGCUUAUUCCUGGGAUGAUAAGAAAGCAGGGUAAAACUGGAUGUGGCAACGUUUCCGAAAACUUUAACAUAUCCGGAAUACCACAGAAAUCACAAUUAAUCAUAAAUACGAACAGACAUUUUCUCCCGUUAGCCUGCCAAGGUUUCACAGACAUUAGAACAUGUCUCACAGAUUUGAGCGUUAAUUGGGAAAACAGUCCAACCAUUUAACACGACCCGCCGUGUGAUAACAUCAAAUUGCUACAUUUAAUUGGAAAAUGUGACAACCUUCAAUAUCUCGCUUUUUCUAGGAAUUUUUCUUUGUUAAUAGUAUUACAUAAAAAUCUUAUUUUGUACGUUAUAAUUUGAAAAUUCCCGUGACGUUCCUGUUAGGAACUUCCUGACUGGCUGCCAGCUUAAUGGUGCUGCCAAUCACGUCACGGGUAAGUUUUUUGAAUAAUAUGGUUAUUAUUGUGAUUAUAAUUAUCAUUAGGAUCAUAAUUAGGAGUAUCAUUAUGAGUAGCAACCCUACAAAAUUUCUUUAGAAAUCUUGAAAUUUCUUAACAACAUUUAAAAAAUAAGAACGUAAAUUAAAUCUGAAAAGUGAAAUAUUGAAAAACGUCUGCCCCGAACGAGAAUUAUCCAGGAAAUUGCUUCUUUAGUUCAAACUUCGUUAUUACUAUUCGUUAAAAUUUUUUACCAUUUUGUUUAACACAAAAAAUCCGAUUGUGACUGUAUUCAUGAUCACAAAUAACUUAAACUAGUAAAAUUGCUAAUUUCGCCUUAAUUUGAAAUUAAGUGUGCUACAUAAACACAAUGUAAGGAAAACCUGAAAACGAUUCAGCCCGAGUUAUGCGUCACUAGCAUUACCACAUAUUGGAGAAUAAUAACAAAGAAAUUAAUCACAUGAACGACAACAAUAUAAAUAAGUUAAGUAAUCCCUAAUCAAAAACACGUGAACUCUAAUAUCCGUCAUAUCAACCCGCACAACCGCCCUUCUACCUUAGCUUGUUCCUUAAUAGGUUAUAGUUAAUAAACCCAUGCGAAUUUACAAUUAGGACCAUGGGUAAAGGAUUAAUUAUUUACUCGCUGAAAACAUCAAUCUCCGAUAAUUAUCUCAAAUGAAUUAACCUUAGCAAAACCAGUUAUUGACAUAUGUGCACUCUUAGGAAUCCAGUAUUAUACUAAUACCAGGUAUUAUACUAAUUAUUUUCAUAUGUGGCUCUACUUAAAUAAGUGGAAUUGUUAAGUAAUAGCGUCUAAUAAAUAAUUUUUGUCGGGUAUUAAAGUUUUUCUAUACUUGAAAUAAUUAAGGUCCGGAAUAAUUUUAAUAUCAAGCUGUAGCAAGGUUAACACCGAGCAACCUGCCUGACCAUACAAGAUUUCCAAUAGCGUGGUAUCAAUCAAAAUAAGUGUAAACACCAGCAUAUUCUUCCCAAUUGGAAAAAAAUAAAAAUAUGUUAUACACUUCUGUCGAAAGUUAUUGUAAUAAUCGAAAAAACUAGAUGCUAGAUACCGUCAAAACUACUACUUCGUAUUUUACAAGGUAUUUCAUUAAGUUUUUAAGUCUAGACCUUCUCUCAAGGAUUACUAUGAAACUUAAAUGCGAAAGAUACGAAGACACAGAGUUCUACUAAUAUAUGAUUAAACUGCAGCCGUUACGAUUUUGUAGAUCAUAAAAAAUGCCUAAACUAAAUAGAGGCCAGGAACCGAAUGAUUAGUUAGAUAAGCACUUACAAACUUCCUGUAUUGAUUUACCUACCUGAAUUUUAGCUUGAAUCAAACAAAACCUGAGUAAGGCGCAGUAAAACCCUGGGGUAGAAUUAAUAAAUACACGUACUUACUUAUAAGUUAUAACCUAUAGUAACCGACGCUGCCAUUUUAUUUGCUUCGACUUUGUUGUAGCCAUAAUGUAAAUGAAUAGAUCGCAUUGUCCUGUCCUUCACUUUGUUGGAAUUUCCUCUUGAAUCUGUCCGUUCGUCGUAGUCUUACUUUGGCCAGAAAUCCAAUUUCGCCGCAGUUUGGCAUUUAAAAAUAUGCCAAAAACUAAACUCCGUUCUGUUUGAUUUCGACUGCAAAUUUGGAAACCAUGUCAUGACCUAGAAACCCUUUCGAAUACAAAUGUUUCGUCUCCAAACCCUUUCGCAUUCAGCGUACUGCAUUCUUAUCGUGGGCCACCUCUGCUUUAGCCACUUGACAACAACCAAACAGUUCCAAGGUUUUAUUUUCUUAUGUAUAUUCGUAAUUAUUUUGUGUGGGCAUUGGAACUAUGAGUUAGACUCAGCCGCCGUGCAGAUAAUCUACUCAGUAAUUACAUUUGAGGCAAACAUUUUUAAAGGUAAGUACCUGACAUACAAAUUUAAUUUCGAACUGAAAACAUAACCAUAAGUGUUCCGUGUGAGUACUUAUAAAACAAUUUCCCAGGCAAACCUGCUAUGGAUGCGAAUAGAGAGACAAAAUUGUUGAAGCUGUUCAUCCAUGCCACCUUCUACACCAUUAUUGCGUUUAUUAUGCCCAUUCCUGGACUAAUAUUACUGGACCCUUGCCUACCACCGUUUCUCCUUUCGGUAAGAGAUGAUUGCAGCUCCAUUACCUGGUCCGUUGGAGUUGAACACCUAUCCAAAUUUGCAGUUGGAACAUCUUCUGUGAAACGUGGAUGAUUACGCAAAUCACGAUGGGCGAAGUACUAGAAAUCAUGUACAUCAUGUUUGCCUCUAUUUAAAAAAACUUGUAAAACAAAGUACACAAAUUUGCGAUUUUUUGGUUUGUCAGAAAUAUUAGAGAAGCUGAUACGAUUUCCAGGUUCAAAGCAUGUAUCAAGCUUUACCAAAGUAUACAAAUUCUUGAGAAAAUGUUCAAUGGAUUUCUCAUGGUUCGUCUCAUUCCCGUCUUCAUGCUCAUGAUGCCGACUUUGCAGAUUCUUGCACAGUACGUGUCCGUCAUGUUGCAUAAUGAUAUACCAAUGCCAGCCUUUCUGAUUUUCCGUCUGGUCGGGGGGAAUUCCUCCAUUAACAAUGUUUUCGUCUUCACGAUGGCAUCCUGGGUGCAUAAUGUUUCCACUAAAAUCAUGCGGGAACAAGUGAACGCAAUGGUACGCUGUGGGUGGGGUGGGAGGAGAUCAGCCUUGAUUAAAGGAGCUAAGGCUUGCACAGUUCUAAAAAUUAAAUUCGGGUCUAAUUUCAUCGACAGGGGGACACCGUUGGUAAUUCAAAAAUUCUGUUUAGACCAAACAAUGUCACUAGUUUUGAUCGAUGAAUCAUCGAUGGAACGCUAAUUUUAGCAAAUUACAAGCUGCAUUUCUCAAUAUCAAAACUAUUCUGAUUCCGAUAUCAGGAAAAACCACGAAUUUCGGGUGAAGUUAGGUUACCAUUUUAGGUUACCAAUUUAAUCUCACAUAUAAAAUUCCUUUUCUUGCAUUUGUUCACACCUACAGCGUAAAAUCCUAUGCGCAUAUUUACCGUUGUAGAGAAAUUUGUUCGAUUUUAUUUAAACUUAUUGAAAACAAAAUUAUCUUACACUAACAAAUUUAACCGUAACACGCGAGAUGAAUUUUUUGGAUGGUGCGUGCAUAAAUAUUAUAGUUUUCAUGACACUAUUCAUCCUCUCGUAUUUCAUGGAAGGGUUGCUGAUGGAGUUUUGGUACGAGGAGCGUAGGUAAUAAAUUACAGAUUUUUUGGUAAUCUUCCCGGUGACAUUGUUACUUCUAAAUAAUUACAAUUUUUACAUUUGCAGAUACUUUGUUAUUCCUCCGGAUUUCUAGUCCAUCAAGGGAAAAAUUUGAAAAAGCUGGGGAAUAGUCGAUACCCACUAAUACUUAUGCAGUUCAUUUAGAAUAUAUAUAAUAAAUAAGCUUAAAUAGAUACAUAUUUUAAUUUAACCCAAGGCGUAAAAUACUCUAUAAAAAUUAGUUAUUUUGUAAUAAAGACUUAUUCCAAAAGAUUAGAUUAA